GAUGAGAGGCGCUGCUGCACGAUUGACUACGGCACUACGGCGACGCGGAGUCACACCUAGGAGUUUCUCGAGAUUUUCACGUGAAAAACCGUGUAGGAGUCUACCGCUGGUCGAGUUUCGUUUAAGCUUGACCAAUGGAGGGUUUCGAAGAGGACGACGACACGCACUUCUGCAUCAAGUGUAAUUUGACAAUCCACGGUCUCGACAAUUAUGUGCGGCAUCGUCGUUCGGGCUGCCGACCGUCCGACGUCAAAAUCGAGAUCGCCCACGAGCCACCCUCGACGCCAACGACAGUGUCCUAUCCCGAGAUUCUAAACGCGGACGCGUUCUUCAGCUCGCUGGAAUUACAGAGCAACGCUCGACGCGCGCCGACUUUAUUGGAUAACAGUCGAAAAUUCAAGAAGGAUGACAAGAGAAAGAAGGACCAGAAAGGUCAGGUGGACGGUGACGAGCCCGGCGCGAAGGAUAAACUUCACAGUAUGUUACCCGCCGUCAGCGAUCUGGACGAGCCGCCCGAUCUGUGCAUCCAGUCCCUGAAGCAGACCACUCUCGAACGGAAGAGACAUGAGAAUCAGCAGAGCUGGCUGGACGACCCCAUCCUCGCCGACCUUUCUUUAGGGAAUAGCGCGAACAAGGAGCUGGCGAGAUACGACUUUGAGUACGAUGACUCCGAGGACGACAUGCUGGAGGAGGAAUUGGGGGAGGAUUCCUAUUCGGAUUCGGAUGACGGCGAAAAUCGAGAGGGUCCGCCGCGAGAUCACACCGGUGGAAAGUGGAAGCCCGGCCUCGACGAUUUGCCGCAGGACAUGCCGCAUAUGCAUGAGGAGGACGCCGAGCCCGACGAUGAUCAUCAGCAACAUCCUCCGCCGACGUAUACCGGCGGCAAAUGGCGCCCCGCGGAGACAUCGCAAGAGAGAAAGGUCGAGGAGUACGAAAGCAAGAACACAUCCGGACAGCCGCCACCGGGACACACGCGAGGGAAAUGGGUACCGGGUGCACGAACGGAUAUCGAGUCGGGAUAUUGGUGCAAUCCUUGCGGUAGGAAGCUCGCCUCACGAUUGGUCUACAACAGGCAUCUGCUCUCUGAUUUGCACGCCAGAAGGAGCAUUAGGGAGCUCGACGGCGGCCUCCACCUACGCCGUGGAAUAAAUUCGCACGCGACGAGAGUGUCCAGAAGAGUGUCCACUCGUAGGCAAACUUCGCUCGAAACGAGGACGAAAGAAGAGCCCGAGCAGAAGAAAGUUAAGAAAGGCGUGCGUCGGAGGGAGAAGGAGAUUCUUCUCUGCGAGAUGUGCCGCACGCGCGUGAGGAGGCCUCAAAUGGGUAAACAUUUGCUCUCCCAUUACCAUUGCCGUGUGUCAGGUGUCCUCGUGAAUCCUCGCAAUCCAAGCGUACGCCGUUUCCUUCUGGAGCACAUAGCGAACGUGGUACGGCAGAGUCCCUUCCAAUGCGCCUCUUGUCGUUUUUACUGCAACACCGAGGAGACGUUCCUGCUUCAUUGGCGUUCCGAGCUUCACUCCAAGACCGUAGAACAGAUCGGUGGCAGUUGCCGAUGCACUCCGUGCAACUUCUGUUGCGCGGACAACGCGACAAUGGAGUCUCACCUCCUGAGUACGAGUCAUCGUGACGUAGUAUCGAUGAUGAAGGGCUCCGUGCCGGUGGUAAUUAGUCGUCAACGUACGUUAUCCUGCGGCAGUUGCGAUCGGCAAUUCCGAUACAACUUCCAGCUGCGAUUGCACGCCAAAGAGACCGGUCACGCCGCGAGUCAUACCGCUUCGGACGUGUAUCAGCAGCGUAUCAAGUGCGAUCGGUGCCCCCAAGUCCUCCGGUCCCUGGUCGCGCUUCAGCGUCAUCAGCUGACCAAUCACAUCGCCAAGGACAAAGAGAAGGGUGGCGAGGUCGUGACGGCCGCGCAACCGGCGCCGUACUUCUGCUCCUUCUGCUCGUUGAACUUUAUCACCGCCCAAGAAGCGGUUCUGCAUCGGAGGACUCCUAGUCACAAGGAAGCCGUGAAGGCACGCAAGAGCGAGGAAGGCCUGCUGGAGACAGUGCGGGAGUGCCCUCAUUGCGACCAGAAGCACCCGAAUCUCGCGGCGCACAAGAGCCAUCUCCUUCUUUGUCAUCCGGAAAUUUGCCACAGAUGUCCUCGAUGCGGCAUGCUUUUUGCCCUGUCACAAGACGUCACCAGACACACGCGAGAGGGUAAUUGUCUCAAAAAUAACGAUAAAUCGAGCGCGAGUGAAGCAGAAAGUCAGGACAAAAAGUGGAAAUGCAGGGAUUGCAUCUUCUCAACGGAUUCCAAAGCCGAACUGAUUUUUCACGAAGCCUUGCACGUCGGUGCCGUUCAAGAAACGGAAGCGGGAGCAAGCAAGAUGUUGCCGAAAUAUAGAUGCCCGAUUUGUGGGAAGGCUUUCCAGAAGACGUCGCUACGGAAUCACAUUAGGCAGCAUACAGGAGAGAAGCCCUUUUCUUGCGUAAAAUGUUCAGUCUCGUUCGUGAGAAGAUCGCAUCUCAUUAUUCAUCAGAAGAUGUGCAACAAUUCGUCGAAAUCUCUGGACGAAACUGGCCGUCGACGGAACUUUAUCUGUUUGCAUUGCGAUAAAGGCUUCUACACAAAGCAUGCCCUUCGACAGCACAUGCUGCGACACGCCGGUAAGAAGUACAAGUGCGGCCUUCCGGGUUGUCCAACGAUUCUUCGUACCGCAACCGAGCUGAAGACCCAUCGAAGGCUGGUACACGACAACAUCGAGAAGCAGUACUCAUGUCCCGAUUGCUCCUACGCCGCUAAAACGAAGACGCAGCUGCGCAGGCACAGGAUAAGGCACGAGGACUCCGCGAACAACGAAAGGGUCCAGAUUCACUUCUGCACUUACAAGGGCUGCAACUUUAAGACGAAACUCGGCUCGAACCUGCGGAGACACGUGCGACUGCACACCGGCGCCAAGCCGUACAAGUGUCGACACUGCCCCUACGCCAGUAACACCUUGGAGAAUCUCCGGAAGCACAUCCUAUCGACGAACUUGCACCCGGGUGAGACGAUCUACGAGUGCGAAUUCUGCGAGAAGAGUAAAGGAAAGGAGGCGGAUCCGUUCUGCACGAACUUCGCCAAGGAACUUCGUGCUCACCUGCUGGAAGCCCACGCCGAAGACUUUCCGACGCCAAAUGACGCGAACAACUACACGAAUAACAUUUUCAGACCCAAUUAAUCAGAAAGGAUCUUCAAUAAUCUACCCAUGCCACAAACGCGAUAGGAGCUGUCAGCUCGCACCCACACACCGCGAGGAUUUCGCAUGGUCUUGCAGAAAGCAUGGCGGAUAAGCGCAGGUGUGUCGCACAAAAUUGUCUGAUCGACAUGCCGAGUGAAGUGAUCUCGGUGACCUUCGUUGAAAAUUUUUUCUCAUCUAUUCGGCGAUGAUCAUGGCGACGUCUUGCUGCUGCAAGAGGCGCAAGAUCUACAAAUGGUACCCGAAAGAAUGUAUCCGGUACGAUCCAAGGAAGAUGCCGUACUUCCUGUGAUUGCGGAUAAUGGACCAUAAUACACACUCCAAUACUUAGCACAGAUACAACCGGUCUGAUUGUCAUCGAGGCGGGAACACGAUCGCUGCCGUAAUCAUUCGCGUUUAAUUGGCCGCACGGCGAUCUCUGUGCUCUGAUCGCAACUGCGCGGUGCGCCGGCUACUUCAAUCUGAUUCCGAGAUUUAAAUCCGAAUUCAAUCAGAUCUUAUUUGUUGUUGGGAUGUGCAUUACGAAAUUUUCAUGAGUUAUCCAGCUCAAUAUCAGCGCAGACAUAAAAUGUAUCAUCACCGCUCGAAACGGAAGGAACGCUACCGCCAUCACGCAUCCGAAAAUUAAUCGGCGUGGGCGCAGCCGAUAACGAAUGGUGUUCCCGCCAAACGGCCAGUAUAUUUUACUUUGCACUCCAGUGUCUGUUAUUUUGUGCGCAUUCUGGCUGUCCGAUCUGGCACGAUUUACUCGCCGGUCUCGAUCAGGAAUUUUCGAGUCGCGCGCGCGCGCGAUUCCGGACAAAUACCCACGGAACCAUUAAAAAAUUGCUGCCGAACUGCGCGCACGUUUCGAUCUCGGUUUCCCUCCCGAUCGAAGGUCUCGCGUUAUUAUCUAUUAUCGAUCUAUCUGCUAAUGUAAUUAAUGUUUAAAUAAUAAUUAAAUUUUUAUUAGAUAAAGUUGAAAAACGACGAAUUUUGUACAGUUUAUAUGCACAAUCACAAAAACGUAUUUUCCUUUUAGCGUUAAAGUCACUUAAUCUGCUUCAUUAUAAAAAUAAUUUGUAAGUUUGAAUUUGAUUAAACGGACAAUAAUUAUUUUAAAUAAUUUUAAAUUAUUUUAAAUAUAAAAUAUUAUAACGUGCGUAUAUAUUAUUUUACUCUAAUACGCAUAUAUAAAAUUAAUAUAUUUGUAUAGUUUUAUACAUGUAUUAUAUGUGUACAGUGUAAAAAAAUGAUAGAUUGAAAUAAAGAAGGUUCAAAUACCUAACGAUACUAAACAUAUAAUAAAUUGGUAAAUAAUUUUAUUUUUAAUUACUCCUGUACUGUUUAAAUUUUCAAAUUGAGACAUUUUAAUCCAUGUUUUGUUUUGACAAAUUACAAUAUAAAACUUGACGAUAAAUGUAGGUUAGUAAUAAAUUUGUAUAAAUUAAAACUGUUUUCUCAUUUUUCGUCUACGUUUGCUUACAGUACUUUUUAAGCAUUAUUUCAUCUUUGACGUUUAUCGAAUCUUAAACAAAGACAAAUAAUACACAACGUGGAUUAUAACAGUUAUUAUAUUUUGUUAUAAAAAGCGUUUAAAAUUUUAAUUUUCGAAGAAAACAGAAGUUACUUAUUCUUUUAUCAACGUUCCGUCUUUGCGCCUAAUCUAUUUUCCUCAAUACACCGCUGUUUGUCGGGUUGCAAGUUUCAGGGGCAGCGCUAAGCUGCACAUGUUUAACCAUUUCACGCUCAAUAAAAUAUAUAUUUCGAUGUAAAAAAAUGUAUUUAAUAAAUAUUGAGUCAUGAGAUUAAUAAAAA
rnacentral:misc_RNA from 1 species